rnacentral:rRNA from 1 species
AGUGAACGCUGGCGGCAGGCCUAACACAUGCAAGUCGAGCGGCAGCGCGUCCGACCACCCUCGGGUGGUCGGAUGGCGGCGAGCGGCGGACGGGUGAGGAAUGCAUCGGAAUCUGCCUCGUUGUGGGGGAUAACGUAGGGAAACUUACGCUAAUACCGCAUACGACCUACGGGUGAAAGUGGGGGACCUUCGGGCCUCACGCGAUGAGAUGAGCCGAUGCCGGAUUAGCUAGUUGGCGGGGUAAAGGCCCACCAAGGCGACGAUCCGUAGCUGGUCUGAGAGGAUGAUCAGCCACACUGGAACUGAGACACGGUCCAGACUCCUACGGGAGGCAGCAGUGGGGAAUAUUGGACAAUGGGGGCAACCCUGAUCCAGCCAUGCCGCGUAUGUGAAGAAGGCCUUCGGUGUAAG